rnacentral:sRNA from 1 species
AGGAUCCUGCAUGAUGAGUCCCAAGGAGAGGAAAGCAGAAAGUGACCUCAAACCAUAGCCUCUCCCCACUCCUAGGUCCUGUACAUCCAGGCCUUUGUCCUUGUCUUCCUUCUGGGCAAGGUGAUGGGCAAGGUGUUCUUUGGGCAACUGAGGGCAGCAGAGAUGGAGCACCUUCUGGAACGUUCCUGGUACGCCGUCACAGAGACUUGUCUGGCCUUCACCGUUUUUCGGGAUGACUUCAGCCCCCGCUUUGUUGCACUCUUCACUCUUCUUCUCUUCCUCAAAUGUUUCCACUGGCUGGCUGAGGACCGUGUGGACUUUAUGGAACGCAGCCCCAACAUCUCCUGGCUCUUUCACUGCCGCAUUGUCUGUGAGUGAGAUUCAGGGGAGGGGAAGGGAGGACUGGAACGUGAACCGUGGACCUGUACUCCAGAGCACAGGCUACCCCCCACAGCUGUACAGGAAAGAUAAUUUA